AAAAGCAAUAAGUUGCAAUAAUUGUAAACAUAAACUUAACAUUCAUUUGUAGAUUGUUUAUUGCUGCUCUUCAUUUCAAUGAGAAUGGAAAUAAACCUCAGAAAACGAAAAAUGAUGGGCAAGCAGAAGAGGCAUUGAUUUGGAGAGUGGCUUAUUCAAAGUCAAAAGAAGGACAAGGUGUCAUCAAACCAGUGAAAGUUGACAGCACUUAUGGAUAUGUUAAGGACUUGAUGAAAGAAGUUUUGUACUGCAGACGCAUUAAUCCAACACUCUCCAAAGCUCUUGAUGUCGCUGGAGUGAAAGAAAUACCUGUCCCAUUGAC